GGAUUUAACUCUUUUGGGGGAAGAAACCAUCUUUCAGCAGUCUUCUACAUGAUGACUCAGCUUGACUGUGGCUUUGUAGAAGAACAGAGAUAAAGAAGGAUGGAGGAUUCAAGACAUAUGUAAAGCCUUAUAUAGAGCUGGUUAUAGUACCUUUUGUGGUGCGGUAUACAUACUAUAUGGUGCUAUUUGAUUAUUCCAUGGGUUUAGAGGACAUGGGUGUGUGGGCAAGGGAAGUGAGGUCAAGUCAGUGCUAGAGGCGUCACAACAGACCCUGGUUCGAUCCCGGGCUGUAUCACAACCGGCCGUGAUCGGGAGUACCAUAGGGCGGCGGACAAUUGGCCCAGUGUCGUCUAAGUUAGGGGAGGGUUUGGCCGGGGCAGGUAAACAGUGACUGGAGCGAUUCCUCUCAGAAUGGUCCCUCAGGUCUGAAUCAGUAAUCACUCUUAGAUCUCAGACAUGAAAGACUUGCGUACGUCUUCCUCAAAAUGGCAACUUAUUUUCUAAUGGAUAAAGGGUGAGACGGGAAAGGGGAGGAAGGGUCGGAGAAGAAAUGUUGACUUAUAUUUUAGCCCCCUUGAAAGAACAUGAAAGCUAAAUAAAAGUGACUGUCACAGAAUCAUUAACAUAUUUUAUCAAUGUCAAG
rnacentral:lncRNA from 1 species